rnacentral:rRNA from 1 species
CAUAAUCACUUGUCCCUUAAAUAUGGACCAGUAUCAACGGCAUCACGAGGGUUCCACUGUCUCCUUUCUCUAAUCAGUGAAACUGAUCUCCCCGUGAAGAAGCGGGGAUAAACCCAUAAGACGAGAAGACCCCAUGGAGCUUCAAACCAGCUUUACCCCCCCACCCUUUUUAUACCCUCUUAUCUGCGGAACACUACAUGCUCGGUUUUAGGUUGGGGCGACCACGGAGCAUAAAAAAACCUCCAUGAUGCAUGAGCCUACCCUCUUACCUAAGAAACACACUUCUAGGAAUUAGCACACUAACAUACUAUGAUCCAGUAACUGAUCAACGAACUAAGUUACCCUGGGGAUAACAGCGCAAUCCNUUUCAAGAGCUCCUAUCGACAAANGGGUUUACNACCUC